rnacentral:tRNA from 2 species
UGUCCUGUGGUGUAAUUGGCAACACGUCUGACUCUGGAUCAGAAGAGUUCAGGUUCGAGCCCUGACAGGACAA